UGGGGAAUAUUGGACAAUGGGCGAAAGCCUGAUCCAGCAAUGCCGCGUGAGUGAUGAAGGCCUUAGGGCUGUAAAGCUCUUUUACCAGGGAUGAUAAUGACAGUACCUGGAGAAUAAGCUCCGGCUAACUCCGUGCCAGCAGCCGCGGUAAUACGGAGGGAGCUAGCGUUGUUCGGAAUUACUGGGCGUAAAGCGCACGUAGGCGGCCAUUCAAGUCAGAGGUGAAAGCCCGGGGCUCAACCCCGGAACUGCCUUUGAAACUAGAUGGCUUGAAUCUUGGAGAGGCGAGUGGAAUUCCGAGUGUAGAGGUGAAAUUCGUAGAUAUUCGGAAGAACACCAGUGGCGAAGGCGACUCGCUGGACAAGUAUUGACGCUGAGGUGCGAAAAGCGUGGGGAGCAAAACAGGAUUAGAUACCCUGGUAGUCCACGCCAUAAAACGAUGAUAACUAGCUGUCCGGGUUCAUGGAACUUGGGUGGCGCAGCUAACGCAUUAAGUUAUCCGCCUGGGGAGUACGGUCGCAAGAUU
rnacentral:rRNA from 1 species